rnacentral:rRNA from 1 species
UACGAAGGGUGCAAGCGUUACUCGGAAUCACUGGGCGUAAAGCGUGCGUAGGCGGUUCGUUAAGUCUGCUGUGAAAGCCCUGGGCUCAACCUGGGAACUGCCAGUGGAUACUGGCGGACUAGAGUGUGAUAGAGGAUGGUGGAAUUCCCGGUGUAGCGGUGAAAUGCGUAGAUAUCUGGAGGAACACCGGUGGCGAAGGCGGCAUCCUGGACCGGCAUUGACGCUGAGGCGCGAAAGCCAGGGGAGCA